rnacentral:rRNA from 1 species
CAGCAGCCGCGGGAAUACGUAGGGUGCAAGCGUUAAUCGGAAUUACUGGGCGUAAAGCGUGCGCAGGCGGUUUGUUAAGACAGAUGUGAAAUCCCCGGGCUCAACCUGGGAACUGCAUUUGUGACUGGCAAGCUAGAGUGUGGCAGAGGGGGGUGGAAUUCCGCGUGUAGCAGUGAAAUGCGUAGAUAUGCGGAGGAACACCGAUGGCGAAGGCAGCCCCCUGGGCCAACACUGACGCUCAUGCACGAAAGCGUGGGGAGCAAACAGGAUUAGAUACCCCGGUAGUCCCUGUCUCUUAUAC